rnacentral:rRNA from 1 species
GACGAACGCUGGCGGCGUGCCUAAUACAUGCAAGUAGAACGCUGAAGGAGGAGCUUGCUUCUCCGGAUGAGUUGCGAACGGGUGAGUAACGCGUAGGUAACCUGCCUGGUAGCGGGGGAUAACUAUUGGAAACGAUAGCUAAUACCGCAUAACAGUAGAUGUUGCAUGACAUUUGCUUAAAAGGUGCAAUUGCAUCACUACCAGAUGGACCUGCGUUGUAUUAGCUAGUUGGUGAGGUAACGGCUCACCAAGGCGACGAUACAUAGCCGACCUGAGAGGGUGAUCGGCCACACUGGGACUGAGACACGGCCCAGACGCCUACGGGAGGCAGCAGUAGGGAAUCUUCGGCAAUGGACGGAAGUCUGACCGAGCAACGCCGCGUGAGUGAAGAAGGUGUUCGGAUCGUAAAGCUCUGUUGUAAGAGAAGAACGAGUGUGAGAGUGGAAAGUUCACACUGUGACGGUAUCUUACCAGAAAGGGACGGCUAACUACGUG